rnacentral:rRNA from 1 species
UACGGAGGAUGCAAGCGUUAUCCGGAAUGAUUGGGCGUAAAGCGUCCGCAGGUGGCAAUGUAAGUCUGCUGUCAAAGCGUCUGGCUCAACCAGAUAAAGGCAGUGGAAACUACAUAGCUAGAGUAAGGUAGGGGUAGAGGGAAUUCCUGGUGUAGCGGUGAAAUGCGUAGAGAUCAGGAAGAACACCGGUAGCGAAAGCGCUCUGCUGGACCUUAACUGACACUGAGGGCCGAAAGCUAGGGGAGCGAAUGGG